rnacentral:rRNA from 1 species
CCUACGGGAGGCAGCAGUCGAGAAUCAUUCACAAUGGGGGAAACCCUGAUGGUGCGACGCCGCGUGGGGGAAUGAAGGUCUUCGGAUUGUAAACCCCUGUCAUGUGGGAGCAAAUUAAAAAGAUAGUACCACAAGAGGAAGAGACGGCUAACUCUGUGCCAGCAGCCGCGGUAAUACAGAGGUCUCAAGCGUUGUUCGGAAUCACUGGGCGUAAGGCGUGCGUAGGCUGUUUCGUAAGUCGUGUGUGAAAGGCGCGGGCUCAACCCGCGGACGGCACAUGAUACUGCGAGACUAGAGUAAUGGAGGGGGAACCGGAAGUCUCGGUGUAGCAGUGAAAUGCGUAGAUAUCGAGAGGAACACUCGUGGCGAAGGCGGGUUCCUGGACAUUAACUGACGCUGAGGCACGAAGGCCAGGGGAGCGAAAGGGAUUAGAUACCCGGGUAGUC